CAAACAAACAAACUUACUCUUCAGCUUUAUAAUAUUAGUUAAUAUUGAGCUUAAUACAUACUUGCACAAGUUCCUAGACCUUACAACAAAAAAGAAAUACAAUAUUGUCAUACAUAUUAUAAUUAUGUACAUUAAAAUGAGCACAAGUUUAUUUUUAUACAGAAAGAAAUGCUUAUUGCUUAAUACAUACACAAUAUUAUGAAGAGUUCGGAGUUUCGACUAGAAAUCACAGUGAUUGUUUCAUUCAUUCAAUAUUUAAAAUUUAAUGCUGUUCACAUUUGAAAAGCUAAAUCAGAGCAACAUUUUUUUUCAGAGUGUGCAGUCAUAAGCAGUAAUGCUCUACCUGCCAAUAUUAAAUAUCGAUUAUCCUCUGUUGUAUUGAUUAACCUCUUACUUAUAGCAUAAUAUUUUAGAAGUCAUCAUAUAAAAAAUAGGUCUCAUAAUCAAAGUACACGUGACUGUACAGUUUUAAUUUGAUUGUUUGAUUUACUUCCAAAUAUGUCCAGCAAUUAAACUUUGUUUUAAGAAUCAGUUCGAAAUACCUUCGACCAGUAUAUGGAUCCAAAAGCUUACCUACGAUGAACACAUUUAUAUUAUAUACCAUCAAAAUGUAAUAUUUUUAUAAUGUCUUGAAAAAGCGUUGCAAUGUUUUUUGUAGUAGGCGCACAGUUCCAGACAAUUUUGAUACUGAAGUCAUCAGAUAAUUUAAGAUACCUAAUACAAAAUUUAUAAGUUUAUAAAAAUGUCUGAUUGGAUUUUGUAUAGUUUUGAUGAAAUUAGCGUUGCUUACUAAAAAUGCUUAAGCUCCAGAAUUCAGUCAAGCCAGAGUCGACAUACCAAACACCGCAUCGACAUAUAAUUUAUCACCUAUUUCGCUUGGUCUCGUGUUACAAGCGAAAAUAUGUAUAAAAGCGAGCAGUCAGUCAUUUUUAUUCUUUGCCACAUAUUAAUCUAAAUUCUGGAAAACUUAUAUUCAUGUAAAUCUGGUUUAAAUCGUAAUGACUGUGUUUAUGAAAAAACAACCCUAGUUUCUUUGAGAAUAAUACAAAUUCUGCACUAAAAACUUAUCUAUUGCGGAACUACUAGCGUCAAUUUGUAUCUCAAAAAGUUUCAAGUUGAAGACUAGGAAGUUUUUAGCUUUUAGCCGUAAAUUAAAAACAAAACCUUGCAAUAAAAGGUUGACUGGGAUAUUAUGAAAAAAUAAUUACCAAGGCUUAUUGAUAGGUAAUUUGUGUUCAAUUUUCUGAGUAGGUAAUUAUCACGUUUCUUUUCUGGAUAAAUUUUGAGAUUCUUCGUCCUCAAUCAAGAUGAAGGCAGGUACUUAUUUUCGAAAGUACAUACAUUUCUUAUAAACAAGACUGGACGCUAAAGUGAAUAUUACAAAAUAAUGUGAAAAACAUGGUGUUUGAAUAUAAAUAUUUUAGCAUGUAGAAAUCACAUUUGCGGGGUAGGUACCAUAAAUGCGACGUAAAAGUAUCUAGUGGCAUUAAAAUCUAGUUUAUUAAAAUCACAGGAUUUUGUGUUUGCCGUGUUACAAAUUCGAUAUAAAAACUACCUUUUCUAUGAUACAUAAAUUCCUUUUACAUUGCAUAAAAACAAUUCGGGCUAGAGCACCCUUAUGUAGCAUUGGUGUUUUCUUUCCGAAAACUGCGUUUGACUAAUGUUGAUACUUGUAUUUUCAGAACGACACAUUUUUUAUAGUUUUCCAUAUAAAUAUAAAGUUAUUAAUACUUCCCUAUCCACCUUAAGUGCAGCAGUGUUUAAAAUGUAAAUAACUUUCGAGUUAUCCGCAUUUGGUACAACAGAGCACUCAAUGAGAACAGGAAAGAACAAAACAAUGUGAUCGAAUAACUGGGUCUUUGGAAUGUGUUAAAUCAAAAAAAUAAAAUUACUUUUUUAAAACUAUAAAAGUAAAAAUCAGACUUUCUAAUUACCAAAUGCGAAUAUCACAGAUUGGGUUUGUACUACUGCACUUAAGGGUCGAUCGCGUUAAACUCCGUUAAAGUUAGGAGUGACAAACCUCUACAGAUAUGCACAGCCAACGCGUAACAUAAUAUGUGGAAGUAUUGGAUGAUUGAUGAGUGUGAACGAAUGUUUGUUUUGAUGAAGUCCAACGCGAUCAAGCCUCAAAACGUACGACCAUCCGAACCUCGACCGCAUCUCAUAAGACCCACGAACGUGUUAUUUCUGGAAACAAAAAUAUUUUCGAUUUAGCAACGCCAAUUAAUUUUAAUAGAUACAAAAUGUGAUUUAAUAUGAUUUAUAUGUCUCAAUAAUGACGCUGUUAAAUAAUUUUAACAUACUUACUCCGCCGACCUGGCAUUAGGCGAACAGUUAUUCCGUCAGCUGCCCGAACUGUAUUAAAAUAAAAACAAUCAAUAAAAAUAUGUACAUACAAAAAAGAAAAAAAAAAGUAUUAAAAUUGUAAAAAGAAAAAAAACACUGCAUUCCACUGCACGACAUUCUUGUUAAAGAUUAUUAAGAGCAUAAAUAAAACUUACCUUCAUAAAUAUUAUAAUUAUAGGUACUGCAAUGUAUUAAAAUCUUCAAAUAAGAUAAAAAAAAUGUACGAAUUCUUUGCCGCUUGCUCAUUUAUUGAAAAAUCCAGUAAAUGAAAAAAUGAAGUUGAGAGUAAAAAUAUGUGUACGUCAAAUGGCAAAGUAAACGUAUAAAGGGUUGUAAAGUUUUAAUAGGAUUAAAUAGCAUCACAAAAAAAUCAACAUUUGAUAAUAAACAUAUUAUUUAUUCUCUCAUAUACAAUAAAAAAAAUGGAUCACAAUUGAAAUUAUACCUAUUUAAUAACAAAGUACGCCUAAAGUCACAAUAUACAUAUAUUUCAAAUAUCUAACUUUAAAAUUAGUGCAGUGCAAACAUUUUAUAGAUAUCUACAUAUAUAAAACUGUAUAAUUUCUCUCUGAUUUUAUUAUAUUUAGUAAGGCCAAUUAUUUAUCACAUUAAUUGAAAACGCUCGAUAAAAUUUAAAUUGAAAGAAAUUAAUAAUAAUUAUUAUUUAAAAAUUAUUUCAGGUCAAUCAAUGAUAAAAAUAACAAGUCUUAAUAUUUUAAAAUAUGAAUAAAUAUAGGUAUAUUGAUAGCACUAUUUAAUAAUGGUAAUUAUUUCUGACUUUAGUGCACUUUUAUGACUUGAAUCAUGUUUAAAUCUAUGUGAAUUGUGAAGAAGUAGUGAACCCUUAAUCGUUACUUUACUCAAUAAUGGAAAGACCCUACCGCCUAUCACAGUUAAAUUCGAAUAUACAUAACAAAUAUACCUGUUUGAUUCAUUAACAUUAAUCAUUAGUCCACUAUGUUAUUGCUUGAAUAUCUGAAGGCCUGUGCAACACAGCUUAUUUAAGCCAGAUUUUAUUUUCCGAAAUGCACAUUGGGCUUCGGCCAUUCUGCCAAAAGACAAAUGCCUGUUUUAUUAGUGAAUUCGUUAUCAUGAAAACUGAGCAAGAUAAUUUGAGCAAAUUGAAGGAAAAGGCGAAUGUUUUUUUUUCAAAGGCAAUAAAUAAUUUUUAUGAUACAUUUUUGGCAAGGCGCAAUAAAAUAGUCUUUUAACGAGAUCCUGUGAUGUUCCACCGUUUGACGAGUCAACAAGUGAUGUUUAGUUUAGUCUGCCUAAUAAAAUUUAAUUAAGUAAAACAAUAAAUACAUCUCAUCUAAUAAA
rnacentral:lncRNA from 1 species